GACGAACGCUGGCGGCGUGCCUAAUACAUGCAAGUCGAGCGGACGGAUGGGAGCUUGCUCCCAGACCGUCAGCGGCGGACGGGUGAGUAACACGUGGGCAACCUGCCUGUAAGACUGGGAUAACUCCGGGAAACCGGGGCUAAUACCGGAUAACUCUUUCCCUCACCUGAGGGAAAGCUGAAAGAUGGCAUCUCGCUAUCACUUACAGAUGGGCCCGCGGCGCAUUAGCUAGUUGGUGAGGUAACGGCUCACCAAGGCGACGAUGCGUAGCCGACCUGAGGGGGUGAUCGGCCACACUGGGACUGAGACACGGCCCAGACUCCUACGGGAGGCAGCAGUAGGGAAUCUUCCGCAAUGGACGAAAGUCUGACGGAGCAACGCCGCGUGAGUGAUGAAGGUUUUCGGAUCGUAAAACUCUGUUGUCAGGGAAGAACAAGUACCGGAGUAACUGCCGGUACCUUGACGGUACCUGACCAGAAAGCCACGGCUAACUACGUG
rnacentral:rRNA from 1 species